CCUCAAAAUCCAUAGGCAUGAUAAAAUGUUUGUUUUAGGCCAUCAUCUGGGGCAGUAUGCCACCACCUCUCUGCGGUCCUUUACUACCAUCUGGACUCCCUGGGUACAUUCAGGAGUGUCAGCAUGUCAUUGUGACCUUUACUUGGAAUUACAAAAUGUCUGCUUCAGCAGCCCCUGGUGACACUGUUCUAAGCAUCUUACAUAUGUGUAGCCACAGUCAGUGAAUAUUGUGCAAAGAGAUUUGCCAAAAACGGUUUUGCCAAGUAGGUUCCAGUUCGGACAGCUGAGGUGGCAGCUUGUGCUUGCAGAACAGUCUCUAUAAAAGUGGAGCCCACAUGCCUUGGUCCCGUCCUUCUUCAAAAUUCCUCAAGUAGUUGUCUGCUUUGAGCCUGCCACCGUCUUCAUCUGGUAACACACGAGGUAAGAGUGAUUUAUUACUGCACUCUAAACAACAAAGGGAUCUCUACUGCUAAGUCCUAAAGAGCUACCAUUUUAUUUCCUGGUUUAGUGAUGGGAAUAAGGUA